GGCCGGCGCGCGCAUCGACACCUCGCUGUUCCACCCGCUGCCGCUCCGCUCGCAUCACGGUACGAGUACGCAAACAGUACAAGUAGACAGAAGCGACGGCGGUCGGCAGCGGGGCGGCGCGCGUGGACUGGGCGGCCAAGUACCUGCGCUGAAGCGCCCCUCCCAGUUCUUCGAUUGAUCGCAAGAAUUGGGUCGUUCUACUCCAGAGCGUUGACAAAGACUAUUGAAUUUUGACCUUUUUGUAGUGAUGUGAUAAAACGUGAUGUUUAUUCCUGUGGUAUCUUGAGAUACAUGAGUGAUGAGAACUGUAAUUAGAUUGACACGAAAUUCAUAUUAUAAUAAACAGUUUAAACAGUAAAUAAAGUGAUUAUGAAUGUAA